rnacentral:rRNA from 1 species
UACGUAGGGUGCGAGCGUUAAUCGGAAUUACUGGGCGUAAAGCGUGCGCAGGCGGUUAUAUAAGGAAGAUGUGAAAUCCCCGGGCUCAACCUGGGACCUGCAUUUGUGACUGUAUAGCUAGAGUACGGUAGAGGGGGAUGGAAUUCCGCGUGUAGCAGUGAAAUGCGUAGAUAUGCGGAGGAACACCGAUGGCGAAGGCAAUCCCCUGGACCUGUACUGACGCUCAUGCACGAAAGCGUGGGGAGCAAACAGG